UACAGAGGUCUCAAGCGUUGUUCGGAUUCAUUGGGCGUAAAGGGUGCGUAGGCGGCGCGGUAAGUCGAACGUGAAAUCCCCGGGCUCAACCCGGGAACUGCGUCCGAUACUGGCAGGCUUGAAUCCGGGAGAGGGAUGCGGAAUUCCAGGUGUAGCGGUGAAAUGCGUAGAUAUCUGGAGGAACACCGGUGGCGAAGGCGGCAUCCUGGACCGGCAUUGACGCUGAGGCGCGAAAGCCAGGGGAGCAAACGGG
rnacentral:rRNA from 1 species